UACGGGGGGGGCAAGCGUUGUUCGGAAUUACUGGGCGUAAAGGGCGCGUAGGCGGCCUGCUAAGUCGGACGUGAAAUCCCUCGGCUCAACCGAGGAACUGCGUCCGAUACUGGUGGGCUUGAAUCCGGGAGAGGGAUGUGGAAUUCCAGGUGUAGCGGUGAAAUGCGUAGAUAUCUGGAGGAACACCGGUGGCGAAGGCGGCAUCCUGGACCAACACUGACGCUGAGGAGCGAAAGCCAGGGGAGCAAACGGG
rnacentral:rRNA from 1 species